AUGGAGUUUGGGCUGAGCUGGGUUUUCCUUGUUGCUAUUUUAAGAGGUGUCCAGUGUGAGGUGCAGCUGGUGGAGUCUGGGGGAGGCUUGGUGAAGCCUGGGGGGUCUCUGAGACUCUCCUGUGCAGCCUCUGGAUUCACCUUCAGCAGCUAUGGCAUGUACUGGGUCCGCCAGGCUCCCAGGAAGGGGAUGGAGUGGGUCUCAGUUAUUAGUAGUAGUGGUAGUAGCACAAACUACGCUGACUCCGUGAAGGGCCGAUUCACCAUCUCCAGAGACAACUCCAAGAACACGCUGAAUCUGCAAAUGAACAGCCUGAGAACCGAGGACACGGCCGUGUAUUACUGUGCAAGAAAAGAUGGAACAGGACCUUAUGGGGGCUCACUGGGAGACUGGGGAUCAGGCACCCUCACCUCCCUCCCAGCCUUUUUCUUCUUUCCAAUCUCACAGAGCAGUCUCAGUGUGGAAGUGCCUCCAAAUGUUUUCUUUGUUCUUAUCUGA